rnacentral:misc_RNA from 1 species
UGGUGCCUGUGGACGGACGG